rnacentral:rRNA from 1 species
AGUGAACGCUGGCGGUAGGCCUAACACAUGCAAGUCGAACGGCAGCACAGUAAGAGCUUGCUCUUACGGGUGGCGAGUGGCGGACGGGUGAGGAAUACAUCGGAAUCUACUUUUUCGUGGGGGAUAACGUAGGGAAACUUACGCUAAUACCGCAUACGACCUACGGGUGAAAGCAGGGGAUCUUCGGACCUUGCGCGAUUGGAUGAGCCGAUGUCGGAUUAGCUAGUUGGCGGGGUAAAGGCCCACCAAGGCGACGAUCCGUAGCUGGUCUGAGAGGAUGAUCAGCCACACUGGAACUGAGACACGGUCCAGACUCCUACGGGGGGCAGCAGUGGGGAAUAUUGGACAAUGGGCGCAAGCCUGAUCCAGCCAUACCGCGUGGGUGAAGAAGGCCUUCGGGUUGUAAAGCCCUUUUGUUGGGAAAGAAAAGCAGCAGGUUAAUACCCCGCUGUUCUGACGGUACCCAAAGAAUAAGCACCGGCUAACUUCGUG